GAUGAACGCUGGCGGCGUGCCUAACACAUGCAAGUCGAGCGCGAUUAAGAGGAAAUAAUGUUUCGGCAGGAAAUAAUCUUAUGAAAGCGGCGGACGGGUGAGUAACGCGUGGGCAACCUGCCCUAUACAGGGGGAUAGCCACUGGAAACGGUGAUUAAUACCCCAUAAAACUACGCUUUCGCAUGAAAGAGUGGUCAAAGAUUUAUCGGUAUAGGAUGGGCCCGCGUCUGAUUAGCUAGUUGGUAAGGUAACGGCUUACCAAGGCGACGAUCAGUAGCCGACCUGAGAGGAUGAACGGCCACACUGGAACUGAGACACGGUCCAGACUCCUACGGGAGGCAGCAGUGGGGAAUAUUGCACAAUGGGCGCAAGCCUGAUGCAGCAACGCCGCGUGAGUGAAGAAGUAUUUCGGUAUGUAAAGCUCUAUCAGCAGGGAAGAAAUUGACGGUACCUGACUAAGAAGCCCCGGCUAACUACGUGCCAGCCGCCGCAGUAA
rnacentral:rRNA from 1 species